AACUUGAAGCUGGAUGUAGGUUUGUGAAAUAACCAUGCCCAUCGCAGACAUGACUUCUCGGCCUUACACCUUUCAAGAAAGUCCUCCUGGUCACAGAGACUGGUGAAACCUUAGGAAGGAAAACCUCCAGAACAUGGCCAAACAGCCCGAAAAACCUACAGCAACCAGAAAUUAAUUUCAUUUUAUACAUCUGAUCUCUUGAUAAUACAAAUAAAUUUAACAUUUUGCAUUUUAGCUUUACAAUAGCCAGCUUUCGUAUUGUGACCUGAAAGCAUUUCGCGUACAUCUUACAGAGCAAUCCGAGCACAAGGUCACAGAUAAAACUCCUGCUGCACGAAUCCUCUGGUAGCUCAGCAAUGGCUCCUUCCAGAAAAAAGCACAUGCGCUGGUCACCCAAAUCCAUCCAAGCGCUCAUCAAAGAAAUAGAAAGCCUUCCUGAGGGUAUCCGCCUCAUGGGAAGCUCAUCAGCCCCAAACUUGGCCAUCUGGAAAAAAGUGGAGAAAAAGAUGGCCAGAAGGAAUUACCCCUGGAAGGUGUCCCAGCUCAGGAACUGCUGGAAGAUGAUCAAGUCAAAAUUCUACACGGAGCAAGCCUUUCACAAGAUCUACAAGGCUCACAGUCGUGAUCCUCCUCCAUACUAUCAGUCAAUGCUUCGGCUGUGGAAGCGGGCAGGGAAGCCCAUCUUCAGGGACAGACGCCGCACAGGCAUGGCGCAAGGAGAGGAGCCAUUGCUGGAAGAAGAGGAGGACACUGAGGUGGAGGAGGAGGAGGAGGAGGAGGAAGAGGAAGAAGAGGAGGAGGAGGAAGAGGAGGAGGAGGAAGAGGAGGAGGAGGAGGAAGAGGAGGAGGACGAGGUGGAGGAGGAGGAAGAGGACGAGGUGAUGGCGGUGGAAGAAGGGACUAGUAGGACGGCCACCUUUGAACUCAUGCCAGAAAUCUAUGUGGGACAAGAAGAAGAACCUGCACACAGAACUGGGACAACAGGCAGAGACAGGGGAGAAUCCCCACACCCAUCCACUUCUACAGCCACAAGAGGUGCCGUCCCAGGUGGGUCUGGGACGUGGAGCCUAAGAUCCCGUGAAGUCAACGCUACGUCUCUUCUGGGGAAACAGCCCUUGAAAGUAUUACACUUUAACCAAGAAAUUAAAGUGAUUAAAGAGCGGCUGAGAUGCCCAGAGGAGAGUUCCCGGAACCAGCAAUGA
rnacentral:lncRNA from 1 species